GGGGAGAUGGCCGAGUGGUUAAAGGCGACAGCCUGUAAAUCUGUUGACUCUGUCUACAGGGGUUCAAUUCCCUGUCUCCCCA
rnacentral:tRNA from 1 species